UAGGGGGUACUGCCUGCCCAGUGAAUUUUCAACGGCCGCGGUACUCUGACCGUGCGAAGGUAGCGCAAUCACUAGUUCUCUAAAUAAGGACCUGUAUGAACGGCAACACGAGGGUUUAACUGUCUCCUCCCUACCCCCCGAAACUUCUCUGGUGGUGCAAAAGCCGCCAUAGCAGCGCUAGACGAGAAGACCCUAUCGAGCUUAAGGGCUUAGGAGACUAAAUACUGGGGAGGUAAAAACCUCCCCCCUUAAUUUCUCCCCCGCCUUUUGGUUGGGGCAACCGCGGAGAUAAACCAUCCUCCGUGCCAAUAAUAAAGACAUCAUGUCACAAACGGAAAACAUGAUCCGGCACCCCCGAACAACGAACAAAGUUACCGUAGGGAUAACAGCGUAAUUCCUCCUGAGAGCUCACAUUGACGGAGGAGCUUGCGACCUCGAUGUUGGAUCGGGGAACCCUGACGGUGCAGCCGCUAUCAAAGGUUGGUCUGUUCGACCAUU
rnacentral:rRNA from 1 species